GGAAACAGACCCUGCUCCUGCUGAACUUCCAGAUGUGACUACGGAUGUUGGGCCAACACCGCCAUUGUCAUCUUGUCGGUUACGCCAAAGCAGAGGACCCAGGGAAUAGAAACCACUCAGAACCUCCAGUUCUACAUCUCCAGAGUCAUCUUCCAAUCAGUACCAGGGACCCAGUGGACAUUACCAAUUUACUAGGACUUUCUGACUACAUAAGCUCAGAAUCUUUUCAUGACAUCUGUUCAAAUGUCACUCCAGGCAAAGUCUAUGAACGUAUCCCUUGAAUCUGGGCCUUGCGACUUGCCCUUGUUCAACAGAAUGUUGCAGACAUGAUAUCGUGCCCGUUCCAAGCUUGGGUCUCAAGAUGUUCUUGGCUUUUGCUUGCUCACUUGGACCCUCUGCCCAGGUG